rnacentral:rRNA from 1 species
AGUGAACGCUGGCGGUAGGCCUAACACAUGCCAGUCGAACGGCAGCACAGUAAGAGCUUGCUCUUACGGGUGGCGAGUGGCGGACGGGUGAGGAAUACAUCGGAAUCUACUUUUUCGUGGGGGAUAACGUAGGGAAACUUACGCUAAUACCGCAUACGACCUACGGGUGAAAGCAGGGGAUCUUCGGACCUUGCGCGAUUGAAUGAGCCGAUGUCGGAUUAGCUAGUUGGCGGGGUAAAGGCCCACCAAGGCGACGAUCCGUAGCUGGUCUGAGAGGAUGAUCAGCCACACUGGAACUGAGACACGGUCCAGACUCCUACGGGAGGCAGCAGUGGGGAAUAUUGGACAAUGGGCGCAAGCCUGAUCCAGCCAUACCGAGUGGGUGAAGAAGGCCUUCGGGUUGUAAAGCCCUUUUGUUGGGAAAGAAAAGCAGCAGGUUAAUACCCCGCUGUUCUGACGGUACCCAAAGAAUAAGCACCGGCUAACUUCGUG